rnacentral:rRNA from 1 species
GAUAAACGCUGGCGGCGUGCAUGAGACAUGCAAGUCAUACGGGCGAGCUUGCUCGCUAGUGGCGAACGGCUGAGUAACGCGUAGGUGACCUGCCCCGAAGUGGGGGAUAACUGCCCGAAAGGGUGGCUAAUACCGCAUGUGGCGAUGUGUUCAUUCACAUCAUCAAAGCCGCGAGGCGCUUCGGGAGGGGCCUGCGUCCGAUUAGCUCGUUGGUGGGGUAACGGCUCACCAAGGCGACGAUCGGUAGGUGGUCUGAGAGGACGAUCACCCAGACUGGGACUGAGACACGGCCCAGACUCCUACGGGUGGCAG